ensembl:lncRNA ZBED3-AS1 ZBED3 antisense RNA 1
AUUCGCUUUCUCCCUCCGAAAGUGGGCGACAUCAAGCAAGUCCCAGUUACAGAAAGAACCCACUGCAGGGCGUCCAGUCACUUGCCCAGUGAAAAGACUGUAAUCAGACAACUUUAAUAAAGGGAGAGCAGGAGAGUGGUGACGAAUUUCCACAUUCCGAACAAGCUUGUCGAAAGAGGAGUGCAGGGAAGGAGCAAGAAUGAGGCACUGGAAGACGGCUGUAGGCGCAUGAUGUCACAAGUUAUUGGAAGAAAUCCCUCCAACCUAGGUUGGGACAGAUGAAGGCGGCGCUUAUUGGUGUUCACCAAAACACCAGCAUGGUGUACCAGCUUUGGCUAGAUGAUGCUCAGACGGGCCUGUCUAAUUGCAGGAAAACAAACUCAGGGCUCCCACUGAUUCUACAUUACGGAAAACACAGAUCCUGGUGCCGAACAUGAGGACAGGGCAGGCCGAAGGAGAAAGUGGAAGGAGGGGAGCUUCUCUCUCAGCCUCAUCCUUCUGGGCCUGGAUGCUGGAGAGUCAUGAGGUGCUUCAGAGUACUCUGGGUGAGGAGGGAAAGAUGGUGCCCACCACAUGGAGGCCAGCCUAGGUCUUGUAUGAAACCUGUGAGGCCAGCAGGAGCCAGGCCGUGGCCUGCUGACUGCAUCUGCCAGAUGACUACCAAUGUGUGAGUAAACCCAUUCUCAAGCCCAAGAGAACCUCUCAGCUGAACCAGGCCCAAGUUGCUCACCCACUGAACUGCCAGUUAAAUAAAUGGUGGUUGUUUUAAUCCACUAAAUGCUGGGAUGGUUUGUUAUACAGCAGUAGGUAUCAAUACAGUGUACUUGUCAAUCUAGGAAUUCCUGUCUUGUCAAAUCUGAGAAAAUUCUCGGUCACUGUCACUUCAAAUAUUACUUCUUUCCCAUUUUCUAUUCACUCAUUCCAAAACUCCUAGUGGAUGUCUUUUCUGUCAUUUCUGGUUCUGUCUUUUGUGAUCUUAAACUUUCAUUCAUUGUUUUUCCAUUUUUACUUCCGUGUUACAUUUUGAGUCAUUUCCUUAGUUCCAGUUUGCUUAUUUUCUAUUCAACCAUUAAAUAUUUCUAUUUAGUUUUAAGUUUCAGUGGCUAUAAGUUUCAUUUAUAAAAGAACUAUUUGGUUAUUUUCUAAAUCUGCAUUUUGUUUUCACAUGUUUUUCUGUUUUUUAAUUUGUAUUUUCCUUUGCCCUUGUAAAUCAUUUAAAAUGUACUUAUUUUAUAAUCAUCUGUGGCUUGAUCUGUUUCUUUACUUCUUGGGCAUUACUUUUUCUGUUAAUUUCAUGAUCUGACCCUCAAGGUGGUUUCCUCCUAUGGUUUGUAAUUUUUAUUAUGAGCUUAUUUUCAGCAGGGAUUUCUCCCCUCUGGUGAAGAUCUGUAUGCCUUGGGUAAUGUGAUUGUCACUUCACUAUGCCUGCAAGUUUGCUUCUGAUGGCAUCCUACCGAUAUCACCAACUCUCAACCAGCUCUAAUGUUUCUUGGUAUUUCUGCCCACAGUGAAAAUUCAGAGCUCACUUCAAUGCAUGGCAUGGGCUUGGCUUCAAGUUUUUCUGUAUGACCUUUUUUUAAAUUUAUUUUUAUUUUUUUAAACCUAUAGCCCAAGGACACGGGAGCUUUUUUUCCUGAUUUGUUUUUGCCAACACUGUAGCCCUCAGGAACUCAGAUUUUGCAAAGUGCUCAAUUCCAGUUGCCUUCCUUACUCACACCAGAGACAAUAUUUUAUUGGCCUGCAAGGGUGUUAAAAUCCCAAGGGUGUUAAAAUCCCCAGAUCUCCAGGGCCUAUCAUUGGUCCAAACCCUGCAGAGGCUACAGUGACAUUAGCCCCUACUUACUGCCCAGCCUCUGAGCUCCCUCUUUGUUUCUAGAAUCUGGGGAUUUCCCUUUCUCUCUGUCUAGAGAUUGUUGUGCUGGACCCCUAUUGACUCCAAUAGGAAUGGCACCAGGUUCAAGAGGCCAAAGAAGAGACCUGGAGCCAGCAAAUGAGACAUAAGAUUUGAUUUGGGGGAACUUAUGUACAGGGAUGGACUAGUGGCAGUGGGCUGGAUAAGAGAACCACAACUGCUUUCCAAAAGCCUGCAGUUUAUACAGCACCUUCACUCAGCACCCUCUCUCCAGCAACAUCCACAUGGCAACCCCCAUUUCCUAGGCUAAGUUAUUGCUGUCAGAUGUGUUUGCCAUACAGGCUGCUGUACAGAGUAUGCUUAAGUUAUUGCUGUCAGGUACAUCCACCGUAUAUAUACAUACACAUGUACGUAUAUAUACACAUACAUGUAUGUGUGUGUGUACAUAUUUGUACUCAUAUACAUGUGUAUAUAUAGAUAUAUAAAAAAAUUUUCUCUGUGUUUCCCUGUAACAGUAACUGAAGAGGGAAUUCUUCUAUAUAAUCUCAGUCCACUAUAUUGCUAGAAGUUCUCUUCUCUAUACUUUUGAGAUAUGAAUUUUACCUUUCAAUAUUCUAAAAUUAUAACAAAGCUAUAAAUUUUGGGAAUUGGUAUAUGUUUGUUUUUAGAAAAAUUGUUAGAAACAUAAUAGCAAUGGGAUGCUUUAACAUGCUACCUUGAACCUUUACCAAAUCAAGAGAGUAAAAAUUAAGCACAAAAGAGGGAUCUAAUACUAUAAACAAGGUAGAUUUAAUACAUAUGUAUCAAACAUAGUAACCUAGAAGCAAUGAAUAUACAUUUUCUGGUGCUCAUUUAACAUUAACGACCUUCAAGAAGGCUUUAAACAGCAACAGAUAGAGUUGAGUUGCUUUGGCCUAUUGCUAAAGGCAUCUAACCCACCUGCUUUGUGGGAGGUCAUCUGCUUUGAAUCUCAACUGUAUCCAAGUCAGAUUUAAACUCUAUGGGGCAUUGGAAUUGUCCUCUGAAUCAUCUCCAACUCUGCAGGAUACAUAAUAGCACCACUUUGUUGUUCUGGAAUUUAAAGACAGGGUCUUAUUCAACUUUGGCUAUUUUUGUGCAGUCCAUGGAUCCUUGAAACAGGACAUUCUACUUUACCAAUAUCUGACUCAUAGAAGACCUAUCUAUAUACCUACCAGGUGGCUACUACCCAGUAACUCCUACCGCCAAUACCAUGACAUUUGUUUUGAAAACCUUAGCUUAUUGCAAUAUUGCUUAUAAUUAUGAAACCUUAGAAACAACUGAAAUGCCUAUCAAAGAGAGAAUUUAUAAAUAAAAUGUAACAUAUUCACGUUCUAUUUUGAUAUGAAUUACCAUAAUAUUCUAUUAGGAUAUGAAUUGUUAUAAUGGCCAUUAGAAGGAAUGGAUUGUUCCCAUAUAUAACAUAAUAUAUCCAUGUAUAAAGUAUCUAUAUAAUACCAACACGUAACAUAAUGUAAAGAAAAGAGAUUCAUGGAAUAAAAUGUGCAUGUCAUUGAUAUAAAUUUUAAAAACACAGAAAUAAUACAUUAUAUUAAGACUAUAUAUGUAUGUAAAAUUAUUACCAGUGGACUGAUUUGGAUAUACACUAAAUUCAUGCUACUUGCUUCUGGAGGUUGCAGUAAA